rnacentral:rRNA from 1 species
GUGGCGGACGGGUGAGUAACGCGUAAAGAACUUGCCUUACAGACUGGGACAACAUUUGGAAACGAAUGCUAAUACCGGAUAUUAUGACUGAGUCGCAUGAUUUGGUUAUGAAAGCUAUAUGCGCUGUGAGAGAGCUUUGCGUCCCAUUAGUUAGUUGGUGAGGUAACGGCUCACCAAGACGAUGAUGGGUAGCCGGCCUGAGAGGGUGAACGGCCACAAGGGGACUGAGACACGGCCCUUACUCCUACGGGAGGCAGCAGUGGGGAAUAUUGGACAAUGGACCAAAAGUCUGAUCCAGCAAUUCUGUGUGCACGAUGAAGUUUUUCGGAAUUUAAAGUGCUUUCAGUUGGGAAGAAGUCAGUGACGGUACCAACAGNAAGAAGCGACGGCNUAAAUACGUGCCAGCAGCCGCGGUAAUACGUAUGUCGCNAAGCGUUAUCCGGAUUUAUUGGGGCGUAAAGCGCGUCUAGGCGGUUUAGUAAGUCUGAUGUGAAAAUGCGGGGCUCAACCCCGUAUUGCGUUGGAAACUGCUAAACUAGAGUACUGGAGAGGUAGGCGGAACUACAAGUGUAGAGGUGAAAUUCGUAGAUAUUUGUAGGAAUGCCGAUGGGGAAGCCAGCCUACUGGACAGAUACUGACGCUAAAGCGCGAAAGCGUGGGUAGCAAACAGGAUUAGAUACCCUGGUAGUCCACGCCGUAAACGAUGAUUACUAGGUGUUGGGGGUCGAACCUCAGCGCCCAAGCUAACGCGAUAAGUAAUCCGCCUGGGGAGUACGUACGCAAGUAUGAAACUCAAAGGAAUUGACGGGGACCCGCACAAGCGGUGGAGCAUGUGGUUUAAUUCGACGCAACGCGAGGAACCUUACCAGCGUUUGACAUCCCAAGAAGUUAACAGAGAUGUUUUCGUGCCUCUUCGGAGGAACUUGGUGACAGGUGGUGCAUGGCUGUCGUCAGCUCGUGUCGUGAGAUGUUUGGGUUAAGUCCCGCCAACGAGCGGCACCCCUUUCGUAUGUUACCAUCAUUAAGUUGGGGACUCAUGCGAGACUGCCUGCGAUGAGCAGGAGGAAGGUGGGGAUGACGUCAAGUCAUCAUGCCCCUUAUACGCUGGGCUACACACGUGCUACAAUGGGUAGUACAGAGAGCUGCAAACCUGCGAGGGUAAGCUAAUCUCAUAAAACUAUUCUUAGUUCGGAUUGUACUCUGCAACUCGAGUACAUGAAGUUGGAAUCGCUAGUAAUCGCAAAUCAGCUAUGUUGCGGUGAAUACGUUCUCGGGUCUUGUACACACCGCCCGUCACACCACGAGAGUUGGUUGCACCC